AUUGAACGCUGGCGGCAUGCUUUACACAUGCCAGUCGAACGGCAGCGCGGGCUUCGGCCUGGCGGCGAGUGGCGGACGGGUGAGUAAUACAUCGGAACGUGCCCAGUAGUGGGGGAUAGCUCGGCGAAAGCCGGAUUAAUACCGCAUACGACCUGAGGGUGAAAGCGGGGGAUCUUCGGACCUCGCGCUAUUGGAGCGGCCGAUGGCAGAUUAGCUAGUUGGUGGGGUAAAGGCCUACCAAGGCGACGAUCUGUAGCUGGUCUGAGAGGACGACCAGCCACACUGGGACUGAGACACGGCCCAGACUCCUACGGGAGGCAGCAGUGGGGAAUUUUGGACAAUGGGCGAAAGCCUGAUCCAGCAAUGCCGCGUGUGUGAUGAAGGCCUUCGGGUUGUAAAGCACUUUUGGCGGGAACGAAAAGGACUGUGCCAAUACCACGGUUCGAUGACGGUACCCGCAGAAUAAGCACCGGCUAACUACGUG
rnacentral:rRNA from 1 species